UCAUCCGUAGCAGACAGACUGCGCUUUGAUUGUAAGAGCUGAUGAGUUGUUGUUUAAGUUUUAAAACCAUGCAGUAACUGUCGAUGACAUAUGAGAAACGUCACCACAGUGCGCCGUUUGUAAAAUUGUAAAGACAUGCAUCAUGCUACCAAAAGCCCAACAAGAUGUUUUGACUAAUUUGUAUGUCGUCACUUCCGUUUAUCCUACGCAUCGGGAAUUCAAGUAUCUACAGCCAAAGACAACAUUCUCCGCAGGCUGGACGAGGCCCACUGAGAGCUGAGAACCAUAAUGGCCACAGUAGAUCAUAAACUAGCUGGAGUUUCAUCCCAUAGCAAGACAUGACGGAACAACACCCCAUUUCUUGUUAGCAGGCAUGCCUCUGAAAGAUCUAAUGAGUUUACAGACACACAUGCAGUACAUAAUUUGGCGGAGCAGGUCAUUAGGCCCUGCGGUGUUGCCUGCAGCCGCUCUGCAACAUUAAAAGGCUGAGAUUUUCUCAGCUGAUAACAUCUGAAAGAAAAACAACACCUGCAGGAACAGAGGCUUUCCAGCUACACCUCAAAGUGAAUCUGUAACCAGUUUGAAAGUGAUCAAUGGGAUGUGACAGCAGCCUGAACAUCACCUGGGAAGACAGCUGACCUUAGAGGUGGUCUAAAUCAUUUAAACAGGCGGCUACUUAAUGUCAUCCCUCCCAAUGGGGUCUCACACUGUAAUUCAUGUGACUCUGAGAACUCACAUGUAGAGUAACUGUGACCUAGUUGAACUGGAUGACACUCAUGGGUGUCAUCGCGGUGUCACAUGUAAACAAAGAGUCACAGGUUCAGACCUCACAACUGUGUAUUCCAGAGAUGCUAACCCAGGUUAGGUGACUCAUUUAUGUGUGUGCAUGUGCUUUCUGUCAAUACGGCCUUGUAGGUUUAGAGUCCUGUGGUUUUGUUCUUGUACAUUUAGUGUUUUUUUUUUUUUUUUAAUGGAAAAGCUUAAAAGAAAGCUAUGUUACUGUUUUAAAUGAGUUUUGUGACAUUGUUCUUUAUGCUACUGAG